CCUACGGGAGGCUGCAGUGGGGGAUAUUGCACAAUGGGGGGAACCCUGAUGCAGCGACGCCGCGUGGGUGAAGAAGCGCCUCGGCGCGUAAAGCCCUGUCAGCAGGGAAGAAAAUGACGGUACCUGACGAAGAAGCCCCGGCUAACUACGUGCCAGCAGCCGCGGUAAUACGUGGGGGGCAAGCGUUAUCCGGAUUUACUGGGUGUAAAGGGGGCGCAGACGGCGAUGCAAGCCAGGAGUGAAAGCCCGGGGCCCAACCCCGGGACUGCUCUUGGAACUGCGUGGCUGGAGUGCAGGAGGGGCAGGCGGAAUUCCUGGUGUAGCGGUGAAAUGCGUAGAUAUCAGGAGGAACACCGGUGGCGAAGGCGGCCUGCUGGACUGCAACUGACGUUGAGGCCCGAAAGCGUGGGGAGCAAACAGGAUUAGAUACCCGAGUAGUC
rnacentral:rRNA from 1 species